rnacentral:rRNA from 1 species
GUCACUGCUAUCGGGGUUCGAUUAAGCCAUGCGAGUCGAGAGGGUUCGGCCCUCGGCGUACUGCUCAGUAACACGUGGAUAACCUGCCCUAGGGAAGGGGAUAACCCCGGGAAACUGGGGAUAAUACCCUAUAGAUUACAGAUGCUGGAAUGCCCUGUAAUCCAAAGUUCCGACGCCCUAGGAUGGAUCUGCGGCCGAUUAGGUUGUUGUUGGGGUAAUGGCCCAACAAGCCCGUAAUCGGUACGGGUUGUGGGAGCAAGAGCCCGGAGUUGGAUUCUGAGACACGAAUCCAGGCCCUACGGGGCGCAGCAGGCGCGAAAACUUUACAAUGCGGGCAACCGUGAUAAGGGAACCUCGAGUGCCUGUAAAUGCAGGCUGUUCAGGUGCCUAAAACACACCUGAAGAAAGGGCCGGGCAAGACCGGUGCCAGCCGCCGCGGUAAUACCGGCGGCUCGAGUGGUGGCCGCUUUUAUUGGGCUUAAAGCGUUCGUAGCUGGGUUGUUAAGUCUCUUGGGAAAUCUGGCGGCUUAACCGUCAGGCGUCUAAGGGAUACUGGCAAUCUUGGAACCGGGAGAGGUGAGGGGUACUUCGGGGGUAGGAGUGAAAUCCUGUAAUCCUCGAGGGACCACCUGUGGCGAAGGCGCCUCACCAGAACGGCUUCGACAGUGAGGGACGAAAGCUGGGGGAGCAAACCGGAUUAGAUACCCGGGUAGUCCCAGCCGUAAACUAUGCGCGUUAGGUGUAUCGGUGACCACGAGUUACCGAGGUGCCGAAGGGAAACCGUGAAACGUGCCGCCUGGGAAGUACGGUCGCAAGGCUGAAACUUAAAGGAAUUGGCGGGGGAGCACCACAACAGGUGGAGCCUGCGGUUUAAUUGGACUCAACGCCGGGAAGCUCACCGGAUAAGACAGCAGAAUGAUUGCCGGGCUGAAGACUCUGCAUGACUAGCUGAGAGGAGGUGCAUGGCCGUCGUCAGUUCGUACUGUGAAGCAUCCUGUUAAGUCAGG